rnacentral:misc_RNA from 1 species
GCCAAAUGGUGCUCUGACUGAGAUAAUCAUUGUGGCCGCAACCUCCCAACCUCCUUUCUGUUGCGCCAAAUGAUAAGGGGGAAAAAAAGGGGAAAGCCUAGUUAAAGGUCUAGAAAUACCUUAAGCUGCAGAUUUCAUAGUUGAAAACAAACCUGGUGUUUAAUUAAGGCUCCAAGAGAUCUUAAUAUUUUUCUCAUUGUACAUAACAGAUCAUAAUAGAUUGAUGGUUAUCAUUUUACUUGCUUUCAUAAACAGGAUUGCACUUGAUAAGUGCAACUUGCAGAUGAAAGUAGUCCUUGUAUGUAGAGCAUAAUUCGAGGCUAUUUUAAAUUUACACAGUUUUCGGUGCUGAAAUUGAGAUUCAUCAUAUAAUUUGUUUUGAAAGCCAAAAUUCAAGCCUUUUUUUUUUCUCUAAAGCAGGGUACCUUUUAAGCGGAAACCAACUCAAUUCUUUUCAAAUGUAAACGUUCAUAUUUUAUAAGCAAUUAAUUAUUUUCCUGAAUGGAUAGACCUUUUGGGUGCAGGUAGCUGAUUAUG